rnacentral:rRNA from 1 species
UCCUACGGGAGGCAGCAGUGAGGAAUAUUAGACAAUGGGCGAAAGCCUGAUCUAGCCAUGCCGCGUGCAGGAUGACGGCCCUAUGGGUUGUAAACUGCUUUUAUACUGGAAGAAAAAACUCUACGUGUAGAGUCUUGACGGUACUGUAAGAAUAAGGAUCGGCUAACUCCGUGCCAGCAGCCGCGGUAAU